rnacentral:lncRNA from 1 species
CUUUUUUCAGAAGGAAAACCAGUUACUCUCUUUAAACUGAAUCUGGGUAGCAAAGAAGUUCUGUGAUUUCAGAUCCUUUGCCAUUCAGGAAAAGCAUUAUUAUGUUAUAUAUCACUUCCCAAGACCAAGUUAACAUCUCAGCAUUAUUUUCUUACAGUUUUACUAUCUUCCACCUAUGAAAGUUUGAAAUAAUUGCCUCCUAUUAAAUAGUCUUUCCCGAAGCUUUUUAUUCAUCAGAAAGAAGACUCCAUUUAGUUACCACCUUCAGAGAAAGCAAAUUACACGUUAGUAAUUUUUGUUCUUGGAAUAUUUAUCCCCAAUAGAGCUUUACUCAUCCUUUCUUGAUCUCAGUCAAAUUUUCAUUCCAUUUAAGUUCUCUCCCUUCCCCCUCUAAAAUGGA